UUCUUGACUGUUUCUACUCAAUACAACAUAAAUUUUAUGAGAGCAGAGAUUUUUGUCUCUUUCAUCCUCUGCUAUAAUUUGGUGCCUAGAACAAUAUCUGGCACGAAGUAGAUGCUCGAUAAAUGCUUUUUGAGUAAAGUAACGCAGAAGCUGUAUGUGUUCUGUUGCUAGAGGCUAAGUGCAUUUUCUCUAAGCCCAGCAUUGAAUGGCUUAUUGAAGAAUGAAACACGCAUUUCCAGGCUGGUCUCUGUGGUUUUUAUUAGUGUUUCCUGGGACCCAUCAAACAAAUAAACUUGUGAAGGCUUGUACGUUUCAGAGGUUCAUAAGACACAGUCUCAACAGGAGUUUUUUUUAAUAAAUGCUCUAUCUCUAGUUCCAGAAACUGAAUUCCAAGAAGCUACACUGAGGAUAAUUCAGCUCUGAUAUUGUGAUUACUGUGAUGUUCUUUCAUUCAUACAGUAAGUAUCUGCCCAAUACGUAACUACCGAGAUCUAUUGCUUCCUACAUAAUUAGACAAGCUCCUCACACAUAUGGGCCCAUGCCGUGCACAUAGCAGGCACUCAACAAGUGUUUGCUUAACUACAGAAGAAUAAUAUAAUUGCCUUCCUUCUUAACUGUUUUACCUUUUUCUAUACUUGAUAUAUUUGAAAAACAACAUGCUUGCAAAACUAAAAUCUAACAUGCAUUACUAACUUUAUCAAAAGAUCCCUCAGUAUUUUUCAAAAAGGAAAAAAAUAAUAAAAACCAAUCCCCCAAAUACUAAAACUUAGAACUGCUUUACACUUAAAUAGCAAUUUACAUCAUAUUAACAUAUUCAUAAUCUUCAUUGGUUAAAACAGGUCAAAGGUUUAUUACUGGCUUCUCAUACCAGAUAAGUCUCACAGUUCCCAAUAAGGCAACAGAAUCCUCAUCCAACAUAUAUUGACUUGUGGAACCCAACGGCCUGUUUUGGUUUCAUUUCAGCGCAAGUAGAAGGCAAAAUAAAGAGUCUCACAGUAAAAUGUUCAUAGUAGAUAAUAUGUCCUUGAAGGUUGUGCCGUUGUGCUCUUAUUCCACUGAAGAAAUGAUUCACAUCCCAAUUAUAGAUAUGGUCUCCCAAUCAGAGGAGUCUUUUAGAAGACAUUCAUUCAUUCAUUGAACAAAUAUGUGUUGUGUACUUGUCCCAUGCUAGGUAACAGGAAAAUAAUAGUGAUUGAUAAGACAUAGUCCCUGUCCUCAAAGAGCUAACAGUCUAGCAAGGCAGGAACUUUGAGAAAAGACCAAUGUGUUCAAAGGAAAACUCACAACCUGGGUCUCCCUUCUCAGAUGGCACAUUCAAGAAACUGUUGCUUAUGCCCCUGGGAGCCAGAGCCUUACUUAAGUCUUACCAAGUCAAAUAUCUAUCAGCCUCAGAUGAUUUGAGCCUGGUAAAGUCUUAGCAAUAGAUUUGCUGCCUCAUGUUCCCAUGAAAACCUAAUAAGAGAGAGCCCUUUCAACUCAGGCAUACGGGGGGUUUAAGGAUAACAUGUUUAGUGACCAUGUGGACAUUCAGCACAGGUGAGCUUCUCAAGUGAGAGCCAUGUGUCCCCAAAAGAAAGGAGGGUUUAUCCAUAAGACUUUGCUCUCCCUUUCAACACUGUGGUGGGAAGUACUCUGUUACCACCCCAAGUUGGCAUAGCUCGAUUACUUUAAGUUCUCCAAGUCACGAACAGCACAUAGAAAAUGCAGCAAACUCAAGUCAAGACAAUAGAGAGAUAUGCUGAGAACUUAAUACUCAAGCCUUAAUCAGGCACCAGAUGCCAAGAAACCUUCACUCUCAACAAACAACACAAUCCACUAAUUAUCUGUAGAAUUGUUGUAGUUGGUACUCUUCACAUUCACUUACUCCUUAGCAAAGAUUGCUCUUGAAUGGAAAGGUUGCAGAAAGAGCCAAAGCCAAUUUGGAAGAAGUGAGAAACUUACAGGUUUGAGGAAUGGUGAAGUCAGCGAAGGAUCUAGCCUCCUUAGAUGAUGAACAGGCAAAGUCAGAGAAGGAACCACAGUGAGAGAAUUGGCAGAUGCCCCUAAUAAAAUCACACAACUCAGACACACACACAGACACACAAAUAUUCAUGCGUUAUACCCAUUCAAGUAACUGGAUAUUUAAUUCAUUCUAUGCAAUGAACAGUCAAAUGCUGGGAAGGCCCCAUAGUUCUUUGGCCUUCUUGUAAAGCAACAUAUGUCUUUUCUGCAGGAAUGUCUGAGUUGCACAGUCAAGAUCGUUGCUGUUCAUUGUUCUUUUUCUCAGCUCUUUCAGUAACUGUUACUUGACAACACUAAGUUAAACCUUUACAGAAGUGACCAAGCCAGGCAGAAAUAAAAAUGGAUUUGGUU
rnacentral:lncRNA from 1 species